CACGUAGGGUGCGAGCGUUGUCCGGUAUUAUUGGGCGUAAAGAGCUCGUAGGCGGUGUGUCGCGUCGGCCGUGAAAACCUGCAGCUUAACUGUGGGCUUGCGGUCGAUACGGGCAUCACUGGAGUUCGGCAGGGGAGACUGGAAUUCCUGGUGUAGCGGUGAAAUGCGCAGAUAUCAGGAGGAACACCGGUGGCGAAGGCGGGUCUCUGGGCCGAUACUGACGCUGAGGAGCGAAAGCGUGGGGAGCGAACAGG
rnacentral:rRNA from 1 species